UGGGGAAUAUUGGGCAAUGGGCGAAAGCCUGACCCAGCAACGCCGCGUGAAGUAUGAAGGCCUUCGGGUUGUAAACUUCUUUGAUCAGGGAAGAAACAAAUGACGGUACAUGAAAAACAAGCCACGGCUAACUACGUGCCAGCAGCCGCGGUAAUACGUAGGUGGCGAGCGUUAUCCGGAUUUACUGGGUGUAAAGGGCGUGCAGGCGGGCUGAUAAGUCAGAUGUGAAAUCCCCGAGCUUAACUCGGGAACUGCAUCUGAUACUGUUGGUCUUGAGUGCUGGAGAGGAUAGUGGAAUUCCUAGUGUAGCGGUAAAAUGCGCAGAUAUUAGGAGGAACACCAGUGGCGAAGGCGGCUAUCUGGACAGUAACUGACGCUGAGGCGCGAAAGCGUGGGUAGCAAACAGG
rnacentral:rRNA from 1 species